rnacentral:lncRNA from 1 species
GAGACAAUGUUCAAAUUUCCACACAUUUCACAAAUAAAUUUUCCAGGGAACCCUUCACACAAAUCCACCAUCAUUUAAUACACAAAUCAACCAUCAUUUAAUACACAAAUCAACCAUCAUUUAAUACACAAAUCUAUCAUCAUUUAAUACAUUACUAAUAUAUAUAUCCCUAAGAUCUCAGACCUAAAUUCAUCCUCUUUCUAGGAAAAUACAGAGAAAAUUUCUUCAGAGGUGAAGGGAGGCCUCUCGCUCCUCCACCUCCACCCAUCCAUCAUCUGAGCAGGAGGUUAGUACCGUGUAAAUCCUAUCUUACAUUUUGCUUGUCGAUGGAUCCUAUGUUUUUUUUUAAUUUCUUCAUUUCUUAGUAGCAUGGGUUGCAGACUACUGCACUAUAUAUUUUUGU